AAAAGAUGCACAGUGUUAGUAGGUCUGUAGUACAAUUGUGAUCUCCUUUCUCUCAGCAGAUUACAUCCAAGGAUCAGCAAUGUCGGCCAAAGGAGGCAGCCAUCAAUCAAAGGACCCAUGUGUCCCAGUACAGCCCACCCCCUGUGUUGAAGUACCAACAUGCCAGGACCCUUGUGUGAUUUCUGACCCUUGUCAAACACAAAGUCAUGGGCCUGGUGCUCAAGUCACCUAUAGUGGAGGCUGUCAGACACAAAGCCAAGGUCAUCAACAGCAUCAUGGAGGCGGUUCAGCCAAGAAAUGAAGAAAUUAAUGUUUAACUGCAUUGAUCUAUCUCCUCAAAUCUCAAUCAAAAUUAAAAAUCUGUUCACCAAUCAGCAUGCUACCAUGUAUCUCAAAUAACAAAUGAUUUUUUCGAAUCAAUUAAACAUUCCCCUGCUGAAA